GCUGGAAUCGCUAGUAAUCGCGAAUCAGAAUGUCGCGGUGAAUACGUUCCCGGGUCUUGUACACACCGCCCGUCACACCAUGGGAGUCGGAAAUGCCCGAAGCCGGUGACCCAACCAAAAGGAGGGAGCCGUCGAAGGCAGGUCUGAUAACUGGGGUGAAGUCGUAACAAGGUAUC
rnacentral:rRNA from 1 species